GAUGAAGAACGUAGCGAAAUGCGAUAAGUAAUGCGAAUUGCAGAAUUUCCGUGAGUCAUCGAAUCUUUGAACGCACAUUGCGCCCCUUGGUAUUCCGAGGGGCAUGCCUGUUCGAGCGUCAUUUUGACCACUCCCGCUUGCGGGGUCUUGGGCCUUCGCCUCUGGGCGGGCCUUAAAAUCAGUGGCGGUGCCGUCCGGCUCUAAGCGUAGUAAAUCUCCUCGCUAUAGGGUUCCGGAGGGAUGCUGGCCAACAACCCCCAACUUUUAAGGUUGACCUCGGAUCAGGUAGGGAUACCCGCUGAACUUAAGCAUAUCAAUAAGCGGAGGA
rnacentral:misc_RNA from 1 species